rnacentral:lncRNA from 1 species
AUGAUGCCAUGCCCACAAGAAUUACCUCCUUUAAAUUACCCCCCAAAGCUUAGGGUGUGGGAAAGAAGGCUCUCGGGGGUAACUGCCCAGCCCUUUAGAUCAAUUAAAUGGUUCUUUGUUACGCAGCCUGGUGCCUCGACUUUGAUUCUACAGUGUCGGCUCCCCCUACUGGCUAUUAGAACAUUUGUGCAUCUUCUCUCUUUUCUCUCUCUCCCCUCUACUUGUUCUCUUCCCCUUUCCUUCCUCCCCAUUCUUACCUCUUCAUUUCUUCUUCUCUCCUUUCUUUCUCACCUUCUGUCUUCCUUUCUCUUCACCUAUUUCUUUCUUACCUUCCCUCUUUUUCUCUCUUUUCUCCCCCUACCUAUUAAAGACCAGAGGCAAUUUCAUGCCUAUGAAUCUUUCCAUUAUUGCCCACCCUCCCUCCAAGGUGCCAAAUCCACUGUGAGUCUGAGGGAGCCGUCUGUUGACCUGGUGAAGAAAGCAGAGCCUCCAGUUAAUUCCCAGAUGCUCCUGCCUGCUGUUGAAGCCCAGAAAGGCAAAGAAAAUACUUAUGCACGAUAAUUUGAAGCUGGGAAGAAAAUGUAAAGAGAAGAGAUCAGGCUAAGAAUGCUACCAAAGGCAAAGUGGUCAGAAGCUGUCUCAUCAGUGUUCGGCUGUUCUCAGCACAUCCCAAAGGAGCCAGGAAGCAUGUCACCAGGCAAUGGAGAGAGGUAUGUGCAGACAGAGGAGUAAAAAGAGAGGAAUCAGAUGUGGAGAAAAUUAGAGCUGAACCCCAUUAAGCACGAAAGAAUUCUCUGUCGCUGAGUC